rnacentral:rRNA from 1 species
UGGGGAAUUUUGGACAAUGGGCGAAAGCCUGAUCCAGCAAUGCCGCGUGUGUGAAGAAAGCCUUCGGGUUGUAAAGCACUUUUGUCCGGAAAGAAAUCCUUGGCUCUAAUACAGUCGGGGGAUGACGGUACCGGAAGAAUAAGCACCGGCUAACUACGUGCCAGCAGCCGCGGUAAUACGUAGGGUGCAAGCGUUAAUCGGAAUUACUGGGCGUAAAGCGUGCGCAGGCGGUUUGCUAAGACCGAUGUGAAAUCCCCGGGCUCAACCUGGGAACUGCAUUGGUGACUGGCAGGCUAGAGUAUGGCAGAGGGGGGUAGAAUUCCACGUGUAGCAGUGAAAUGCGUAGAGAUGUGGAGGAAUACCGAUGGCGAAGGCAGCCCCCUGGGCCAAUACUGACGCUCAUGCACGAAAGCGUGGGGAGCAAACAGGAUUAGAUACCCUGGUAGUCCACGCCCUAAACGAUGUCAACUAGUUGUUGGGGAUUCAUUUCCUUAGUAACGUAGCUAACGCGUGAAGUUGACCGCCUGGGGAGUACGGUCGCAAGAUUAAAACUCAAAGGAAUUGACGGGGUCAUAGCUGUUUCCU